UACGAAGGGGGCGAGCGUUGUUCGGAUUUACUGGGCGUAAAGGGCGCGCAGGCGGCUUUGUUUGUCAGGCGUGAAAGCCCCGGGCUUAACCUGGGAACUGCGUUUGAUACGGCAGGGCUAGAGUCCGGAAGAGGAGAGUGGAAUUCCCGGUGAUAGCGGUGAAAUGCGCAGAUAUCGGGAAGAACACCGGUGGCGAAGGCGGGUCUCUGGGCCGAUACUGACGCUGAGGAGCGAAAGCGUGGGGAGCGAACAGG
rnacentral:rRNA from 1 species